UACGUAGGGGGCAAGCGUUGUCCGGAUUUAUUGGGCGUAAAGAGCGUGUAGGCGGCUUGGCAAGUCUGCUGUGAAAACUCGAGGCUCAACCUCGAGCUGUCGGCGGAAACUGCUUGGCUAGAGUCCGGAAGAGGAGAGUGGAAUUCCUGGUGUAGCGGUGAAAUGCGCAGAUAUCGGGAAGAACACCCGUGGCGAAGGCGGCUCGCUGGGACGGUACUGACGCUGAGACGCGAAAGCGUGGGGAGCGAACAGG
rnacentral:rRNA from 1 species